UGGGGAAUAUUGGACAAUGGGCGGAAGCCUGAUCCAGCAAUGCCGCGUGUGUGAAGAAGGCCUGAGGGUUGUAAAGCACUUUCGUUUUUGAAGAAGUAAUGUGGGUUAAGAGCUAGCAUUAUUGACGUUAGAGAAAGAAGAAGCACCGGCUAACUCUGUGCCAGCAGCCGCGGUAAUACAGAGGGUGCGAGCGUUAAUCGGAAUUACUGGGCGUAAAGGGUGCGUAGGUGGUUUUGUAAGUAACAUGUGAAAGUCCUGAGCUUAACUUGGGGAUUGCGUGUUAAACUGCAGAGCUAGAGUGUUGUAGAGGAUAGCGGAAUUUCCGGUGUAGCGGUGAAAUGCGUAGAUAUCGGAAGGAACAUCAGUGGCGAAGGCGGCUAUCUGGACAACAACUGACACUGAGGCACGAAAGCGUGGGGAGCAAACAGGAUUAGAUACCCCCGUAGUCC
rnacentral:rRNA from 1 species